GCUAAUAAUUAUUUUACUUAAUGAUCAUAUUAUGUAGCAUGUAUUCAAGCCCAUCAAGUUUGUUUAUCUAGGUGGUGACAAUAGGCCAAAGACCACGGAGACCCCUGAACACGAAACUUUAGUUGUGUCAGUUAGUAGGCUUUGGUUUUGGUGGGUUUGAAAGUGCUCAAUCUGUACUUGAAGCUGUGUCAAUUUUAACUGCAUUUAUAGUUGUUCAUGAAUGUGGUCAUGAAUUAGAAUUAGUUGAGACAACAUAUGCAGGCCGAGAGGUUGGAUAAGUGGCCAAAAUUUGCUCGCUUUAAAGGUUCAUCUUAAAGUAUUGGAUAACAUGGGGUGGCUUUAAGGUAUCCAGUAGAAUUUGUACUCAGUGCCUUCUAAUAACAGUUGAAGCAUUUGCAGCUCCUAUCUACUCCAUUGAAAUUCACUUGCUCCGUGUAGAGUCAAUUAUGGUUGGGGAAAAGAUAGCAACAUAAACAUCUACAGUUCAGAGUUCAGACUACUCUGAUCUUUACUGCUACGAUCAUGGGGAGUCUCUGAAGCUUUGCAUCAGCUAAAUAUUUGAAAUUAUUGGCAUUGGGAGUGGUUAAAUGAGACCAUUCUCAGUUGAGUUCAAGGGGUUACUAUCCUUAUUAUAUUUCAGACUGAAUUGUAUAAUGUGCAGCAAAAAUCUGAUCUAGAAGCUUUAAGAAAAUGCGUACGUGUUGGUUUGUAAGCUUUCAUCAUUCAGUAUCUAUUCUAUAUCCUGAAUAUAUUGUUUUAAAAAUUUUUGGUUGAAAUGGAAAGCCUUCAGUUGGAGCUGAUUUAAUCAACGGAAUUGUUGUAAUAUCUUAACUUACAAUGUUCAGUUUUAAUUUAUAAAAUGUUAUCUGGACAACUCA